AGAGGAGGAGCGAGGAGUUCCAAAAGAUUCUGGAGGUUUCGAAGGAGGAAAGGGACCGGGUUCAGCGAAUGCAGGUUGUUGAUCGAGCUGCGGCCGCGAUCGCGGCUGCUCGCGCCAUUUUGGAGGACAAGAAUAAUAAGUUGAGGACUGAGGCGGGGGAUCGCGGAGGUUCCGGUGGUGGGAGUGGCGGGGGGUGGUGACGGAACAAUUGGGGCUCGUCAAGAAGGGGCUGGGAAUGUGCAAAUGUGAAUGAGUGAAUCUACUAGGGCUAGGACAGAAUUUGAAUCUGUGCAAAUGUGAAUGAGUGAAGCAGGAGUUUGGUUUUAUAUAGAUCGAGCAUACAUUCUUUAAGGAGCAAGACUGAGCUAACUAUUAUGUGGAUUUCAUUUUUAGAUGUUGGAGGACGAUGUAAUAUUGUUAUUUUGAAUGUAUUGUUAAAACUUAAUUUAUGAACUUGGAUAUUAGACUUUGUAUUUAGAUUAGAUGUGAAUAAUGGUGAAUUUGUGCAAAAUCUGCAUAAAUGCAGUGUCACUGUGAUUGUGCAGCUGCAAAUUGCAAUCUGUGCAGUUUGCAAACUGUGCAGUUAAAAAAAAAAAAAAAAGGGUACCCGUGGACCCGGCUCAAACCGGCCCGUUUUAACCGGGCCGGGUAAUGUCCGGUUCCUAUACAAGAAAAUCCAAUCCCCGCCCCGUCCCGGCCCGUUUCGGGUAAUGUCAGGUUCCUACAAACUUAGGUUCGGCCCGGCUCGGCCCGGCCCGUGCCCAGCCCUAUUGUUUACCAGCAGAAAGAGGAGUGGAAGUGACAGACGGAGUAGUUGAGGCUCCAAAUUCUAUUGUCUUUCCCCCAGCGGAGAAUCGAAUGCACGCACAGAACGCUAUCAUGCUUCAUCUGCUCGGAGUUUGAUUACAUAUGAUAUCCC